rnacentral:pre_miRNA from 1 species
CGUGCACCACGGGGGUCCCUCAGCCUGGCCUGUCCCCUCUCGCAAUCUGGGACCCCCUCGGGGGGUGUUGGAAAGUUGGUUUUGGCCCAAUCCCCGCAGGCCAGGCUGAGGGACCCCAUUGGUGCACA